GCGCAGGUGGUGGAAUCGGCAUACACGUAAGGUUGAGGGCCUUAUGGCCGCAAGGCUGUGCGAGUUCAAAUCUCGCCCUGCGCACCA
rnacentral:tRNA from 1 species